rnacentral:rRNA from 1 species
AUACGGAGGAUCCGAGCGUUAUCCGGAUUUAUUGGGUUUAAAGGGUGCGCAGGCGGCCAUUUAAGUCAGCGGUUAAAUCGUGGGGCUCAACCCCAUUCUGCCGUUGAUACUGGGUGGCUUGAUUGCGGUCGAGGUUGGCGGAAUUCGUUGUGUAGCGGUGAAAUGCAUAGAUAUGACGAAGAACACCGAUUGCGUAGGCAGCUGACCAGAUCGCAAAUGACGCUCAUGCACGAAAGUGCGGGGAUCGAACAGGAUUAGAUACCCUGGUAGUCCGCACAGUAAACGAUGAAUACUUGUUUUCGGCGAUAUAAUGUCGGAGGCAAAGCGAAAGCGAUAAGUAUUCCACCUGGGGAGUACGCCGGCAACGGUGAAGCUCAAAUGAAUUGACGGGG